UCCCUGAUGGUCCAGGGGUUAAGACUCUGUGCUUCCAAUGCAGGGAUCUCAGGUUCGAUCCCUAAUUGGGGAA
rfam:Ovis aries breed Texel chromosome 17, whole genome shotgun sequence.